GAUGAACGCUAGCGGCAGGCCUAACACAUGCAAGUCGAGGGGCAUCGCGGUGCAGCAAUGCACUGGCGGCGACCGGCGUACGGGUGCGUAACGCGUAUGCAACCUGCCCCGCACCGGGGGAUAGCCCGCCGAAAGGCGGAUUAAUACCCCAGUGGUCCCGGGGGCCCGCAUGGGCAUCCGGGUAAAGCCUUGGCGGUGCGGGAUGGGCAUGCGUGCCAUUAGCUGUCUGGUGGGGUAACGGCCCACCAGGGCAACGAUGGCUAGGGGGUCUGAGAGGAUGGUCCCCCACACUGGUACUGAGACACGGACCAGACUCCUACGGGAGGCAGCAGUGAGGAAUAUUGGUCAAUGGGCGGAAGCCUGAACCAGCCAUGCCGCGUGCGGGAUGAAGGCCCUACGGGUUGUAAACCGCUUUUCCCCGGGAAGAAUAACCCCGAUGAGUCGGGGGAUGCCGGUACCGGGGGAAUAAGGAUCGGCUAACUCCGUG
rnacentral:rRNA from 1 species